rnacentral:rRNA from 1 species
AUUGAACGCUGGCGGCAGGCCUAACACAUGCACGUCGAGCGAGCGGCGGACGGGUGAGUAAUGUAUUGGGAUCUGCCUGAUCGAGGGGGAUAACUACUGGAAACGGUGGCUAAUACCGCAUACUAUCGUAUCAACCCAUAUGGGAUUAGAUAGUAGUUGGGGUAAAGGCUCACCUAGGCGACGAUGUCUAGCUGGUCUGAGAGGAUGAUCAGCCACACUGGGACUGAGACACGGCCCAGACUCCUACGGGAGGCAGCAGUGGGGAAUAUUGCACAAUGGGCGAAAGCCUGAUGCAGCCAUGCCGCGUGUAGGAAGAAGGUCUGAGGGUUGUAAAGUACUUUCAGCGGGGAGGCGUUACCUGCAGAAGAAGCACCGGCUAACUCCGUGCCAGCAGCCGCGGUAAUUC